CCGGGGAGGUUAGUGGAGGCGACCCUGCAGGGGGCAACACUGUCUGGUUUCUCUGAAUUACUGGGCAGCACUCCCCAAGCUGGCCUGCCUCUGUCCUGCUCCUCUCCAUGUGUAGGGGAAACAGCCGCCCCACGCCAGUCCCUGUCUCCUGGCUUGCACUGACAGGGUGGCUGCCCUGGCCAGGUGUCCUCCUCUCCCUCCCUGCCCUGCACGGAUCAGGAGCCCCCUUCUCCAGCCCUGCUGUGGCAGGUGGCUGCCCCAGUUAGGGGCUCUUCUCCCCUUCUCCUGCAUUGCCCUGGGGAGCUGGCAGCCCGUGGGUGGCAUGGAGCUCUGGAUUUGUGUGUAAUAGUUCCUGCUGGCGCUCACUGAGCGUGCCUGGGGUGCUGUGCCACCUCUUCUGCCCACCAUCCCACCUGGUGUGGGCCUGGCCCUCUGAGGGGGCUGGGGCCUGUGUUAAUCAUCUCCUAGGGUUUGAUGAUGAGAUCAGAGAGUGAGAAACCAGAUAAACAGGUGGAGCCUGCCAGGGCUUAUGGGGCUAUCAAGCCAUAAAACCAGCUGGGACAAGGCCUCAGACUCUUCUGAUAAGCCAGGCCAUGUGAGGGAACAGGGCUGGGCCGGUUGUGCGUAUGUGACCACCUGGGCACUCAGCUAGCUCUGUGACCUUUGCCCAGGUACCCAGCGCAUAGCUGGGGCUCUUGGCUCAGGGGAUCUCCAGUGUGGGUGAUGCAGGAAGAAGUCGUCUAAUUCUGAGGAGGGAUUUGAUCUGUGGAUUUCUUGUGUUGCCUGGCAUUGGGCUUAGGCAGGCCUCUCCUCCAGUAUUAAACUGGGCUGUCCUGUCCAACUUUUGUGGGGUUUGUUUCCCAUCCAGUACCGAGAUCGAACCAGAUGUGGUUUUGUCCUGUAUUGGGCAAACGCCCUUUUGAAGAGCGUGCUGUUCCAUCCCUGCUAGGUGCAUGCAAGGUCAUGAUGGGGAGGGGGCGAGGUCAUGCCGGCAGGGGUAUGUCCACGUCAUUCCCAGAAGUAUAUCCAGUAUCCAGGAAUGCAUGAGGCCACCCUAACUCGAAUGGGGGCAGGCUGCCAGUAACCCAGUAGAUGCUGCUGCUGGGCUCACCAGUAUGUGAGGCCUCUGUAUGGCAGCUGCCCAUGGGAAGGCCAGACGAGCCAUUUCGGUCUAAGUCCGUCUGCCUCUCCCCAAAUUCAAAUGUCCUUCUGGGCUAAGUCGUCUCCUGCCCAGACUGGCUCCAUGAGGUUGUUCUGGGUAGUUACAGUGUUUUUGUGUAGACAAAUCAGCGCAGCGCAGCCCCCUUGUGUGGCCACACUUCUCUUGGUAUUAAGUUGCUUAGCCUGGGAGAACUUAUCCAACUCAAGCAAUGCUGCUAACUGCAGACACCUAGGGGGUUAUAUCAAUUUAUCUACAUUGAUUUUUCUACCAUCGUAGUUGUCUGUGCAAAGCUGUGCUUGGACCAGCCCUGAAAGCGAUCUCUGUCCCUCCGCAGCACCAGAGUUCUGUAAUACACACUGAGGCCUGCUUUCUGUCCAGCCCCUUCUCAUUUCCUCUGCGUCCUGCUUCUCAUCACAGUGCUGAUCACUGAUGCCUCAUCUUGUGAGGGAGCUGUGCUGGUCCCCCAGGGCUUGACUCUGCUUAGGCAAAACAAGUGCAAGCACAAUGUGCUCAGCGCUACACCACAGUUUUGUUCCAAAACUUCCUCUAAUGACACCUCAAGCUGGGACAGUCCCUCAGAUUUGUCACCUAAGAAGAAUGGCUCUCAUGUGGGAAUCUCCCUCACAUCCUCUGCAGUGAAGACCAAUGCAAGGAAUUCAUUUAGCUUCUCUCCAACAGCCUAGUCUUCCUCGAGUGCUCCUUUAGCAUUUUGAUCAUCCAGUGGCCCCACUGACUGUUUGGCAGUCUUCUGAUGUACUUACAAAUGUUUUUGCUGUUAGCUUUUAAGUCUUUUGCUAGUUGCUCUUCAAAUUGUUUUUGGCCUGCCUAAUUAUACUUUUACACUUGA